AGCCUUUCGUAAAAACUCAAUAUCAAUUCCCCUCUCGUGGUUAUUUUGUCAUGUAUUCAUUCAUAUCGCUCAGGGGAUUAUUAACUGGCGUACACAGGUAAUAGGAAGUCAGUGACCGGAAAUUGCGUUGCGGUAAAGAUCGAGAUAACGACACAAUGCAGUCUUCUCUCAGCCUAGUUCCUGCUGCCGCUGCUUGCUUUUAUUCAGUCACCAGAAGUGGGGACUCUGCUGAUAACGCAGAUUAUCAGACAACUCGUCGAAUAGUCAGUGACACCCAAGUUUCAGCUGUGAGCCAAUGGAGGAGCCAGUGGUAGCAGGACCUGGGGCCAGUCUGCUGGUUAACCGAGGAACGACUCUUAACAACACACUUUGGGUUUGUUUGAUUGGAAAGGUGUAGCUUCGGUGUAGGGUGGGUUAGCUCAGGUGGUAGAGCAGUUGUCUCGAAACCGCAAGGUUGCUAGUUCGAUCCCCAGCUCCUCCUAGCUGUUUUGUUGAUGUGUCCCUGAGCAAGACACUUAACCCUAAAUUGGUUGGGUUGGGUUAUGUUGCGCAGAGGUUGCCAAAAAAUGCAAACAUGUUAUAUGCCAUCUAACAACUGCAUAUAGACUUAUGGCAUCUAAAAGAGUGACAGUAUUGUGAAGUAAAUUGAGUUUAUUAAGUGUGCAUGCAUUUUGCAUGAAUUAAAAAAAAAAAA
ensembl:lncRNA